GAUGAACGCUGGCGGCGUGCCUAAUACAUGCAAGUCGAGCGGUAAGGCCCUUCGGGGUACACGAGCGGCGGACGGCUGAGUAACACGUAGGAACCUACCCCAAACUGAGGGAUAAGCACCAGAAAUGGUGUCUAAUACCGCAUGUGCUCUACGGAGUAAAGCUUCGGCGGUUUGGGAAGGGCCUGCGUCCGAUUAGCUAGUUGGUGGUAUAAAAGACUACCAAGGCGACGAUCGGUAGCUGGUCUGAGAGGAUGAUCAGCCAGACUGGGACUGAGACACGGCCCAGACUCCUACGGGAGGCAGCAGUAGGGAAUUUUCCACAAUGGGCGAAAGCCUGAUGGAGCAACGCCGCGUGCAGGAUGAAUGCCUUCGGGUUGUAAACUGCUUUUAUCUGUGACGAAUAUGACGGUAGCAGAUGAAUAAGGACCUGCUAACUACGUGCCAGCAGCCGCCGUAA
rnacentral:rRNA from 1 species